rnacentral:tRNA from 1 species
GAGGGUAUAGCUCAGUGGUAGAGCUCAUGCUUAGCAUGCACAAGGUUGUGGGUUCAAUCCCCAAUACCUCCA